UAUACCGUAAAUCUUUUUUUUUGUUAUCUGGUAAUUUUAUUAAACAACACUACAAGAGAAGACAUAGAAAAGGUCCGGACUGCUAAAAACAACACAAAGGCUCAAGAUGGCCAAACUUAAAAAUACAAGGACGAGACUCAAACAUGGGCCCAACCAAGAACGCCCAGAAAGAAAAGACACGUAUGCUUCACGUGUACGAAGAAGAGAUUGAAAGAAAACAUGAUUCGAAACGCAGAAACUGCAUCCAUACCGCCACCGACAAAAGCUUUAUGCCGGAACUCUGAAAAACCACAGGAGACCAAUCUUAUCAAAGCCAGAAAAAAUACAUGAAUAAAACAGAGACAAACGAGCGAACCACCAAAUCAAUCACUUCAACCGAAUCAAUCACUUCACCGGAUUAAAAACACCCAAUCUGAACCACUACGACCUAAUCUCUACGGAUUGAAAGACGUCGUCGGAAACCUAAGCGUUAAACUACUGGAACCUACCGGGGACAUGACCACGAUCAAAGAAACCCACCAGCUUCAAAGCAUACACAUUCAUUGCCUAAGCCACAUCCAUCGGAGAGCGUCAAUAGACCAGUCGAGAAAUCAUCCACAACACCAAGCCACCAAACACAAAGAAACAUAACCGUCCCACAGAUCGAGAAUACUCGGGGGGGGGGGGGGGGGGGGGUUNNNNNNNNNNNNNNNNNNNNNNNNNNNNNNNNNNNNNNNNNNNNNNNNNGGGGGGGGGGGGGAAGUCGAUUACACCCUGAAGAAAAUGGUAUAAGUCGGAGUCAAAAGCCGGCCGUCUUCACCGAAGAAGAAAGUUAUGACGCCAGAGUCUGAAAGAAGCCAUCGAUGCCAAAAAGGAAAACAAUCGCCGAAAACGAGAAGCAAGAUACUACUCCGACGGUAACACCGAAAACGCCACCGCCGAAAACCACAUCCACCGUAAAUCAAUAUAUAAAAUUGUAAGAUAAACUUAUUUAUAUAAGUUAACUAUUGUAUUUAAUGAAAUAACUAGAGUUAACACAACAUCAAAAAAUUUUUUUAACUAAAGUUAACUAUUCAAAUAAAUCAGUUUUAUUGAAUAUGUAUUAUGC
rnacentral:lncRNA from 1 species